rnacentral:rRNA from 1 species
AGUCCACGCCGUAAACGAUGAGUGCUAAGGGUUGGAGGGUUUCCGCCCUUCAGUGCUGCAGCUAACGCAUUAAGCACUCCGCCUGGGGAGUACGACCGCAAGGUUGAAACUCAAAGGAAUUGACGGGGGCCCGCACAAGCGGUGGAGCAUGUGGUUUAAUUCGAAGCAACGCGAAGAACCUUACCAGGUCUUGACAUCCUUUGACCACUCUAGAGAUAGAGCUUCCCCUUCGGGGGCAAAGUGACAGGUGGUGCAUGGUUGUCGUCAGCUCGUGUCGUGAGAUGUUGGGUUAAGUCCCGCAACGAGCGCAACCCUUAUUGUUAGUUGCCAUCAUUCAGUUGGGCACUCUAGCAAGACUGCCGGUGACAAACCGGAGGAAGGUGGGGAUGACGUCAAAUCAUCAUGCCCCUUAUGACCUGGGCUACACACGUGCUACAAUGGGAAGUACAACGAGUUGCGAAGUCGCGAGGCUAAGCUAAUCUCUUAAAGCUUCUCUCAGUUCGGAUUGCAGGCUGCAACUCGCCUGCAUGAAGCCGGAAUCGCUAGUAAUCGCGGAUCAGCACGCCGCGGUGAAUACGUUCCCGGGCCUUGUACACACCGCCCGUCACACCACGAGAGUUUGUAACACCCGAAGUCGGUGAGGUAACCUUUU